AUUGAACGCUGGCGGCAGGCCUAACACAUGCAAGUCGAGCGGGGUUUUCGGACCUAGCGGCGGACGGGUGAGUAAUGCGUAGGAAGCUACCCGAUAGAGGGGGAUACCAGUUGGAAACGACUGUUAAUACCGCAUAAUGUCUACGGACCAAAGUGUGGGACCUUCGGGCCACAUGCUAUCGGAUGCGCCUACGUGGGAUUAGCUAGUUGGUGAGGUAAUGGCUCACCAAGGCGACGAUCCCUAGCUGGUUUGAGAGGAUGAUCAGCCACACUGGAACUGAGACACGGUCCAGACUCCUACGGGAGGCAGCAGUGGGGAAUAUUGGACAAUGGGCGCAAGCCUGAUCCAGCCAUGCCGCGUGUGUGAAGAAGGCCUUCGGGUUGUAAAGCACUUUCAGUAAGGAGGAAGAGUUGUGUGUUAAUAGUACACAGCUUUGACGUUACUUACAGAAGAAGCACCGGCUAACUCUGUGCCAGCCGCCGCGGUAACAC
rnacentral:rRNA from 1 species